UUCUUCACGUUACGAGUCAUGAAUGUUCUUCAGGAGACACUCCAGAGAUGAUCUCUUCUCCAGGAUUAGUGACUGUGAUACUCUUCCUGCUGGGACAAACCCGUGGAGCUUCAGUGAGCCAGAUGGAUGGCCAAGUGACCCUUUUGGAAGGGGCUACCUUGACUGUGAACUGUACUUAUUCAGACACCACGUACCCCACUCUUUUCUGGUAUGUCCAGUAUCCUGGAGAAGGUCCAGAGCUCCUCCUGAAAGCCACGAAGGCUAACGACAAGGAAACCAACAAAGGUUUUGAAGCCACAUACAAUGCAAAAACCACCUCCUUCCACUUGGAGAAAGCCUCAGUCCAGGAGUCAGACUCGGCUGUGUACUACUGCGCUCUGGGUGACACAGUGACAGGAACUGCAGGGGGAGCUGAGCGCAAACUCUGAGCAGCGACGGGGCCUGGAUGCACUGUGGUUCCCACAGAGCCUGUGGUUGUGUGUCUCUUAGUCUCUGGUUGAUACUAAAAACGUACAAAUGGCUAAAGCAUAAGAAUAAGAAGAGAAUAUUCCCCAUACCCAACUCUUUACUAGUGAAACUGCAAACUCUGACACCAGUAGUUCCUUUUCCAGGGUCAAAGUAAUUUCAAGGUAAAACCACAUAAGUAAUGAAGUGGUGUUUUGCAUAUUCUUGCAAAAUCCUGCUUCCACAAGUUGUUCCAAGUCACCCAGGUGGGUAUUGCUAUGUCUUACUAUACUUUCAUAGAACCAAAGUGUGCCAGAU